UGUGACUAUGUGUUCAACGGCCGCGGUAUUUUGACCGUGCAAAGGUAGCGCAAUCACUUGUCUUUUAAAUAGAGACCUGUAUGAAUGGCAUAACGAGGGCUUAACUGUCUCCUUUACCUGGUCAAUGAAAUUGAUCUCCCCGUGCAGAAGCGGGAAUAUUAAUAUAAGACGAGAAGACCCUGUGGAGCUUCAGACAAUAGGGGGAUUUUAUGUAGUAAACCUAAACAGGACACAAACAAAUUCACACUCCCCCCAAUGUUUUCGGUUGGGGGACCGCGGAGUAAAAGACAACCUCCAUGAGGAUUGAGGAAUUACCUUAAAACCUAGAACGACAGUUCAAAGAAACAAAAAUUUUGACCUAAAGAUCCGGCACAGCCGAUCAACGAACCGAGUUACCCCAGGGAUAACAGCGCAAUCCCCUUCAAGAGUCCCUAUCGACAAGGGGGUUUACGACCUCGAUGUUGGAUCAGGGUAUCUAAUGGUGUAGCC
rnacentral:rRNA from 2 species